CUUUAGUAAAGAACUAUCAGAAGUUUCAAAGCAAACUAACUUUCUUACAUGGAGAAACUGUGUGUAUGUCACCGUGAUUAUUACAAAGACAUGGUCCAGAAUUCCAGAAAGUAUACCCUGAUCAGAUGAGACUCAAACUACCAAGAAGUGAGAGACGAAGAAUGCCCCCGCCCUGGAAGAGAAGGAAAUCUGGAACGAGCUGAUUAGGAACUCGUAUUUCAUCACUCCACACCAAACCCAGCAUCCAGUAUAAAAGCCAUGUAUUUAU